CUUCUCCCAGUGAUGCCGGAGCCAGAAUAUGACGUCACUCCGGUUCCGGCAUCAGUAAAUAGCAUGCGAGGGAGCUGAACAGGAGGAUCAGUGCUCCCUUGCCACCUGCAGGACCGGCUGCCCAGGAGCCAACUGGACCCCAGAGAAAUCAGGAAUCUCUUCAGCACUGCCAAAGGUAGGGAGGCUGGGGGAUUUUAAAAAAAAUUAAAAAAAUUCAGUGUGUAUGUGUGUUAGUGUUAGAGUGUGUGUGUCACUGUGUGUGUCUGUUACUGUGUGUGUUAUUGAGUUUGUGUCUGCUAGUGACUGUCAGUGUGUGUGUUAGUUUGUGUGUCAGUGAGUGUGUGUGUCAGUGAGUGUGUUACUGUCUGUGUC